AUAGGUCUGAACCAGAUCCAUAGUUGCUCUUAGUUAAAUAUGUCCAUGGUUUAUUAAGGUUAAUUCUACUUGUGGAUUUGUAAAUGUCAUUUAGUAAAUUAGAAUGUUUGACAAUUGAAACACACGAGCCUUAGUUGAUACUACUUGACAUAUUUUGCUAUGGCUGCAGCUGUGAUGAAUUCAAGAUCUCCGGCCUUUGCGACAUGAAGCCAAAGUUUUAUGAAUCGCAGUGUGGCAAGAAACCAUAUCAAUGCUUCUGAUACCUGUUGUAUGAUGAACUAUGGAGUUUAGGAUAAGCGUUUAAGGUUUCUAUCCCAGUUUCAAACACAAUGCAAUAUGGUAUGAGCAAUGAAAGUCCAAUCAGAGUUAUAUAAAAUGGUGCAUGGUGAAAUUAGAGGAGUUGCUACUGGUUUAGAAAUGAUGCUGUUUUGAUUUCUUGAAAUUUGAAAAAUGUGAUAUGGAAUUGGUUUAUGAUGGUCUUAUGGAGAAGACUGAAGAGAUUGAUGGAGGUUUUUUUUAAGAUGAGAAUUGAUGCUGGUACUGGUUUUGUUGUGUGCCUUUUUUUUUUAUUCUGUGUGAUUAUGUUUUUAUAUUGGGAAGAA